UAGUGGCGAACGGGUGAGUAACACGUGGGCAAUCUGCCCUUCACUCUGGGACAAGCCCUGGAAACGGGGUCUAAUACCGGAUAACACUCCUGCUCUCAUGGGCGGGGGUUAAAAGCUCCGGCGGUGAAGGAUGAGCCCGCGGCCUAUCAGCUUGUUGGUGAGGUAAUGGCUCACCAAGGCGACGACGGGUAGCCGGCCUGAGAGGGCGACCGGCCACACUGGGACUGAGACACGGCCCAGACUCCUACGGGAGGCAGCAGUGGGGAAUAUUGCACAAUGGGCGAAAGCCUGAUGCAGCGACGCCGCGUGAGGGAUGACGGCCUUCGGGUUGUAAACCUCUUUCAGCAGGGAAGAAGCGAAAGUGACGGUACCUGCAGAAGAAGCGCCGGCUAACUACGUGCCAGCAGCCGCGGUAAUACGUAGGGCGCAAGCGUUGUCCGGAAUUAUUGGGCGUAAAGAGCUCGUAGGCGGCUUGUCACGUCGAUUGUGAAAGCCCGGGGCUUAACCCCG
rnacentral:rRNA from 1 species